rnacentral:rRNA from 1 species
GACCCUGUGCACCUUUACUAGAUUUUUAUAUUGUUACAAAAAUUAAACUGUGUAGAAUAGGUGGGAGCUUAGGAUUAAAAAAGAAGCGCUCUUGAAAUACCACCCUUUUUAAUAUUUUGAACUCAUUUAAUCCCUCUGGAUUAAAAACAGUGUAUAAUUGCUAGUUUGGCUGGGGCGGCCACCUCCUAAAAAGUAACGGAGGUGUACAAAGGUAAAUAUAAUUUAACUGCAUAGUUAAAUUUUAAGUGUAAUGGCAAAAUUUGCUUGAUUGUGAGACUUACAAGUCAAACAAGGACGAAAGUCGGUCAUAGUGAUCCGGUAAUACUGUGUGGUAAGAUUAUCGCUCAACGGAUAAAAGGUACGCCAGGGAUAACAGGCUUAUGACCCCCGAGAGUUCUUAUCGGCGGGGUCGUUUGGCACCUCGAUGUCGACUUUUCACAUCCUGACACGAAUGAGAACGAUCUGAUUAGAAAUGGAUGAAAUCGAGAUAAGAGGGGAAGCUGGAUUGCGCGACCCCCAACC